UUGGAUUGCAUCAUGUAUAUUGGAGGUUAAGUUUCCCCACAGAGGGUAUCAUGUCACUGAGCUACUAAUGCUAACGCUAGUCUACACAGCCAAGACUUGCGCCCUGCUCUGGGAAAGGACACACUUAUCCUAUGCUAGUUAAACCUGGUCUAAUAGCCGGCAACCCUUACAGCUACCGCUAAGCCAAAGGGCAUACUAACGGGCGUUAAUGCUAUACUGAUGCUAACCAACACGAGUGACUGGGACUUUCACACUCCAAUUACAAUAAUUACAUUCUGACAGGUUGGAUAAAACACGCAUGUAUCUAAUGGUACAUUGAUACUGUUCGCGAUAUUUCAGACAGUCAACGCUAGCAUCGCCCAGAAUGCUUCUCUUGAGGACGAGCUAGCGUCAUAACAGCAGAGGGAGUUACAAGUACACAGUCCUCCACCUGUCCUGGCCAUGAUCUCACCACAGAGGAAAACCCCUUACUGAACAGAAUGGACAGGACCGGACAGUAAAUCAGACUGGGAGACUUAAACAGCAUUAAGGAUCUACAAAACAAGAGACGCCAGCCGGAGGAACGGUUGGAAAUACCAUGGCCGGUACCGGGUCCCAGGGCAGCACCAUAAGGUCAGGGUGGAGGAGCCGAGCGCAGCCGGACACUACGCUCUGAUGCCGAACGCACCACUGCAGCAGUGCCAUGACGGAAUGGAUAAGGGAGGUCGGGAAAUGGUUAGCUCAUGCCACAUAACCUCACUGGGUCCGGCACAGAACGAAAAAGACGUGGCAAACAAUGGUAAUUGACAUGUGGACAUGGGAGAGGAG